UAACAAGGAUUCCCUCAGUAACGGCGAGUGAAGCGGGAAGAGCUCAAAUUUAAAAUCUGGUUUGCUUGCAAGCCCGAGUUGUAGUCUGAAGAAACGUUUUCCAUAAGCACUGAGGCAAAAGUCCCUUGGAACAGGCAUCAUAGAGGGUGAGAAUCCCGUCCAUGGUCUCAAGUUGGUUAUUUUGUGAUACGUUUUCAAAGAGUCAGGUUGUUUGGGAAUGCAGCCUAAAAUGGGUGGUAAAUUUCAUCUAAAGCUAAAUAUUGGCGAGAGACCGAUAGCGAACAAGUACCGUGAGGGAAAGAUGAAAAGAACUUUGAAAAGAGAGUUAAACAGUACGUGAAAUUGUUGAAAGGGAACCGUUUGAAGCCAGUCUUACUUGCCUGUGAUCAAUUUUUGCUUCGGCAUGAAUGCACUCUCGGGUAUGGUAGGCCAACGACAGUUUGGAAUGCGAGAAAAAAAUAGAGGAAAUGUGGCCUUCGGGUGUUAUAGUCCUUUGUAAAAUAUCGUGUUCUGGACUGAGGAUCGCAGCAAAAACGUGGGCAGGUGGAUUUCUGUGGUAACUGUCGAUUAGGACAACUCGUUGACCUAGUCUUCCUUAGCCUCACUAUUUACCUUGCUUCUAAUUUGCUUAGGUCGUUGGCAUAAUGGCUUUAAAUGA
rnacentral:rRNA from 1 species